rnacentral:rRNA from 1 species
GAUGGACAACAGGUUGAUAUUCCUGUACUACCGAUAACCGUUUGAGAGAAGGGAUGACACAGUAGGAUAAGCUAAGCACACUGUUGGUUAUGUGUGCCCAAGCAUUGAGGCAGUCAAAGUAGGCAAAUCCGCUUUGAUAAUGCUGGGAUGUGAUGGGGAGCGAAAUUUAGUAGCGAAGUAGCUGAUUUCACACUGUCAAGAAAAGUCUCUAUCGAGGUUAAAGGUACCCGUACCGCAAACCGACACAGGUGGGUGAGGAGAGUAUCCUAAGGCCAGCGAGAGAACUGUUGUUAAGGAACUCGGCAAAAUGACCCCGUAACUUAGGGAUAAGGGGUGCCACCAUCAGGUGGCCGCAGAGAAUAGGCCCAAGCGACUGUUUACCAAAAACAUAGGUUUCUGCUAAGUCGCAAGACGAUGUAUAGGAGCUGACGCCUGCCCGGUGCUGGAAGGUUAAGGGGAUCUGUUAGAGCAAUCGAAGCAGUGAACUUAAGCCCCAGUAAACGGCGGCCGUAACUAUAACGGUCCUAAGGUAGCGAAAUUCCUUGUCGGGUAAGUUCCGACCCGCACGAAAGGCGUAACGAUUUGGGCACUGUCUCAACAACAGACUCGGUGAAAUUGUAAUUCCGGUGAAGAUGCCGGAUACCUGCGACAGGACGGAAAGACCCCAUGGAGCUUUACUGUAGCUUGACAUUGGGUCUUGGUACUACAUGUACAGGAUAGGUGGGAGGCUUUGAAACCAGGACGCCAGUUUUGGCGGAGCCAUCCUUGGGAUACCACCCUUGUAGUACUGGGACUCUAACCAUAGGCCAUGAAUCUGGUCUUGGGACACUGUCAGGUGGGCAGUUUGACUGGGGCGGUCGCCUCCCAAAAGGUAACGGAGGCGCUCAAAGGUUCUCUCAGUACGGUCGGAAAUCGUACGUAGAGUGUAAAGGCAAAAGAGAGCUUGAUUGCAAGACAUACAGGUCGAGCAAGGAUGAAAAUCGGACUUAGUGAUCCGGUGGUUCUGCGUGGAAGGGCCAUCGCUCAACGGAUAAAAGCUACCCUGGGGAUAACAGGCUUAUCUCCCCCAAGAGUCCACAUCGACGGGGAGGUUUGGCACCUCGAUGUCGGCUCAUCACAUCCUGGGGCUGUAGUAGGUCCCAAGGGUUGGGCUGUUCGCCCAUUAAAGUGGUACGCG